AUGCACGCUGGCGGCGUGCCUAAUACAUGCAAGUCGAGCGAACGGGCGAGAAGCUUGCUUCUCUGAUGUUAGCGGCGGACGGGUGAGUAACACGUGGAUAACCUACCUAUAAGACUGGGAUAACUUCGGGAAACCGGAGCUAAUACCGGAUGAUAUUUUGAACCGCAUGGUUCAAAAGUGAAAGACGGUCUUGCUGUCACUUAUAGAUGGAUCCGCGCUGCAUUAGCUAGUUGGUAAGGUAACGGCUUACCAAGGCAACGAUGCAUAGCCGACCUGAGAGGGUGAUCGGCCACACUGGAACUGAGACACGGUCCAGACUCCUACGGGAGGCAGCAGUAGGGAAUCUUCCGCAAUGGGCGAAAGCCUGACGGAGCAACGCCGCGUGAGUGAUGAAGGUCUUCGGAUCGUAAAACUCUGUUAUUAGGGAAGAACAUAUGUGUAAGUAACUGUGCACAUCUUGACGGUACCUAAUCAGAAAGCCACGGCUAACUACGUG
rnacentral:rRNA from 1 species